UACGUAGGGUGCAAGCGUUAAUCGGAAUUACUGGGCGUAAAGCGUGCGCAGGCGGUUUUGUAAGUCUGUCGUGAAAUCCCCGGGCUCAACCUGGGAAUGGCAAUGGAAACUGGCGGGCUGGAGUAUGGCAGAGGGGGGUGGAAUUCCGCGUGUAGCAGUGAAAUGCGUAGAGAUGCGGAGGAACACCGAUGGCGAAGGCAGCCCCCUGGGCCAAUACUGACGCUCAGGCACGAAAGCGUGGGGAGCAAACAGG
rnacentral:rRNA from 1 species